UCAGAACGAACGCUGGCGGCAGGCUUAACACAUGCAAGUCGAACGCAUGUCUUCGGACAUGAGUGGCAGACGGGUGAGUAACGCGUGGGAAUCUACCCUUUUGCUACGGGAUAGCUCCGGGAAACUGGAAUUAAUACCGUAUGUGCCCUUAGGGGGAAAGAUUUAUCGGCAAAGGAUGAGCCCGCGUUGGAUUAGCUAGUUGGUGGGGUAAAGGCCUACCAAGGCGACGAUCCAUAGCUGGUCUAAGAGGAUGAUCAGCCACAUUGGGACUGAGACACGGCCCAAACUCCUACGGGAGGCAGCAGUGGGGAAUAUUGGACAAUGGGCGCAAGCCUGAUCCAGCCAUGCCGCGUGAGUGAAGAAGGUCUUAGGAUUGUAAAGCUCUUUCACCGGGGACGAUAAUGACGGUACCCGGAGAAGAAGCCCCGGCUAACUUCGUGCCAGCAGCCGCGGUAAUAUGAAGGGGGCUAGCGUUGUUCGGAAUUACUGGGCGUAAAGCGCACGUAGGCGGACAUUUAAGUCAGGGGUGAAAUCCCGGGGCUCAACCCCGGAACGGCCUUUGAUACUGGGUGUCUUGAGUUCGGAAGAGGUGAGUGGAAUUGCGAGUGUAGAGGUGAAAUUCGUAGAUAUUCGCAGGAACACCAGUGGCGAAGGCGGCUCACUGGUCCGAUACUGACGCUGAGGUGCGAAAGCGUGGGGAGCAAACAGGAUUAGAUACCCUGGUAGUCCACGCCGUAAACGAUGGAAGCUAGCCGUCGGGGGGUUUACCUUUCGGUGGCGCAGCAAACGCAUUAAGCUUCCCGCCUGGGGAGUACGGUCGCAAGAUUAAAACUCAAAUGAAUUGACGGGG
rnacentral:rRNA from 1 species